rnacentral:rRNA from 1 species
CCUACGGGUGGCAGCAGUGAGGAAUAUUGGUCAAUGGACGCGAGCCUGAACCAGCCAAGUCGCGUGAAGGAUGACUGCCCUAUGGGUUGUAAACUUCUUUUAUAUAGGAAUAAAAUGUUCCACGUGUGCCUUUUUGUAUGUACCUUAUGAAUAAGGAUCGGCUAACUCCGUGCCAGCAGCCGCGGUAAUACGGAGGAUCCGAGCGUUAUCCGGAUUUAUUGGGUUUAAAGGGAGCGUAGGUGGGUUGUUAAGUCAGUUGUGAAAGUUUGCGGCUCAACCGUAAAAUUGCAAUUGAAACUGGCAGUCUUGAGUACAGUAGAGGUAGGCGGAAUUCGUGGUGUAGCGGUGAAAUGCUUAGAUAUCACGAAGAACCCCGAUUGCGAAGGCAGCUUACUAAACUGUGACUGACAUUGAGGCUCGAAAGUGUGGGUAUCAAACAGGAUUAGAUACCCGUGUAGUC